ACUGUGCUACGUGCUGCUCAGGUGCCAGACACAAGUGGGAUGGAUUUCCCAGAGAGUUACCAAACUAACAGGAAAAAAAUCCAAAGGAAAUGAGAAUAAGCACAAAGCAAAGGCCAUAAAUUCUGGGAGAUUUAUACCUUGACAGCACCAGUGUUUGCUGAUAUACCCACUGACCACCUACACACAUCUCAGCUGCACCUUUUCCUCAGGAGAAAGCCAUGGAUCACUGCUGCCCUUACCAGGAUACAAUGACUGUAUCCUGUAUUUCCAGGCAAAUAUUUGGGAAGAUGCAUGGUUGUGAUGCAAGUCAGUGAGACUCCUUACAGAUUUCCAAGGAGAAGGUUCUGAAAUACACUUUUGUUUGAAAACCGAA